CCUACGGGAGGCAGCAGUGGGGAAUUUUGGACAAUGGGCGAAAGCCUGAUCCAGCAACGCCGCGUGCGCGAUGAAGGCCUUCGGGCUGUAAAGCGCUUUUCGGGAGGAUGAGCAAGGACAGUACUCCCGGAAUAAGUCUCGGCUAACUACGUGCCAGCAGCCGCGGUAAAACGUAGGAGGCGAGCGUUAUCCGGAUUCACUGGGCGUAAAGCGCGUGCAGGCGGUUCGACAAGUUGGGCGUGAAAGCUCCCGGCUCAACUGGGAGAGGACGUCCAAUACUGGCGGGCUAGAGGAAGGGAGAGGGAGGUGGAAUUCCCGGUGUAGCGGUAAAAUGCGUAGAUAUCGGGAGGAACACCAGUGGCGAAGGCGGCCUCCUGGCCCUUUCCUGACGCUCAGAGGCGAAAGCUAGGGGAGCAAACGGGAU
rnacentral:rRNA from 1 species